ensembl:misc_RNA Metazoa_SRP Metazoan signal recognition particle RNA
GCUGGGCACGGUGGCGCGUGCCUGUAGUUCCAGCUACUCAGGAGGCUGAGGUGGGAGGACCGCUUGAGCCCAGGAGUUCUGGGCUGUAGUGCGCUAUGUCGAUCGAGUGUCCGCACUAAGUUCGGCAUCAAUAUGGAGACCUCCCGGCAGCGGGGAACCAGCAGGUGAACCGGCCCAGGUCGGAAACGGAGCAGGUCAAAACUCCUGUGCUGAUCAGUAGUGAGAUCACGCCUGUGAAUAGCCACUGCACUCCACACUCCAGCCUGGGCAACAUAGCAAGACCCCAUCUCUU